GGCGUGUCCACGAUCCAGUGCUGA
rnacentral:miRNA from 1 species